AGUUUUCUACAUUUUGUAUUUCACUUUUGUACUAUCUACAUUUUCACUGUUUAAAGUUUUACGGAUGUCAAAAGUUUAUAUUCCAGAUUUGAACCGUCCAAGUUUUCAUGUGAACCCAGAUUUUGGUAGAAAUGUAUUUUACUCGCAGACACUCACAAAAAGACUUAAUAGUUAUUAUACUGUGUACCUGACGCUAAGUUA